rnacentral:rRNA from 1 species
UACGUAGGGGGCUAGCGUUGUCCGGAAUCAUUGGGCGUAAAGCGCGUGUAGGCGGUCCGGUAAGUCCGCUGUGAAAGUCGGGGGCUCAACCCUCGAAUGCCGGUGGAUACUGUCGGGCUAGAGUGCGGAAGAGGCGAGUGGAAUUCCUGGUGUAGCGGUGAAAUGCGCAGAUAUCAGGAGGAACACCAAUUGCGAAGGCGGCACUCUGGGCCGGUACUGACGCUGAGGAGCGAAAGCGUGGGGAGCGAACAGG